AAUGGGUCAGCGACUUAUAUUCUGUAGCAAGGUUAACCGAAUAGGGGAGCCGAAGGGAAACCGAGUCUUAACUGGGCGUUAAGUUGCAGGGUAUAGACCCGAAACCCGGUGAUCUAGCCAUGGGCAGGUUGAAGGUUGGGUAACACUAACUGGAGGACCGAACCGACUAAUGUUGAAAAAUUAGCGGAUGACUUGUGGCUGGGGGUGAAAGGCCAAUCAAACCGGGAGAUAGCUGGUUCUCCCCGAAAGCUAUUUAGGUAGCGCCUCGUGAAUUCAUCUCCGGGGGUAGAGCACUGUUUCGGCAAGGGGGUCAUCCCGACUUACCAACCCGAUGCAAACUGCGAAUACCGGAGAAUGUUAUCACGGGAGACACACGGCGGGUGCUAACGUCCGUCGUGAAGAGGGAAACAACCCAGACCGCCAGCUAAGGUCCCAAAGUCAUGGUUAAGUGGGAAACGAUGUGGGAAGGCCCAGACAGCCAGGAUGUUGGCUUAGAAGCAGCCAUCAUUUAAAGAAAGCGUAAUAGCUCACUGGUCGAGUCGGCCUGCGCGGAAGAUGUAACGGGGCUAAACCAUGCACCGAAGCUGCGGCAGCGACACUAUGUGUUGUUGGGUAGGGGAGCGUUCUGUAAGCCUGUGAAGGUGUACUGUGAGGU
rnacentral:rRNA from 1 species